GUCUUUACAGCGUGGUUCCACUCUGCAGUCCUCAAUACAAAAUCUCGGCCAAAAAUGUAUGCUCUGGAUGGAAAUAAAUGUUGUCACAUUGCACAAGGUUGUCGAAACAAUGCCAUGAUGAAUGCACGAUGUAAUCAAAGCUAAAGGUGGUGCAACACAAUUGUGUGUGUGCAACUUUUUUUGGCCAGGCAGUGUAUUUUUCUGAAAUAAAAUUACUUAAAGUACAUCUUGACUCAUCAAGAAACAUGUGUAGUGGGGUGUGUGUCGUGGUUAAAACGUCACCCUUAUUAACUACGUGGCCAAUGGGCUCGCUCCCUACCACAGUAUAUAAAUGGUCGUUGAGGCUUCUCACAAUGCGUCAUGGUCGAAAACCCGUCCCUUCCUUUCGUUGCUAUGGGCUACAGAGGUAUGUGGUUUUAGCGGUGUUCCUUAGCUGUGUGAUGCUAGCGUUGUCUGUUUACCAUGCGCUUUAUUUGUUUAGUGUGACGUUGGGCUACUGAGACUGUGUGCAGGUGUGAUGUGCUGCUCACAAUCAGUGCGCUGUGACGUCAAGGCUCCCAGCUGUGUAGCAUGGUAAUUUAACGUAGCUCCGGUCGGAGCGCCAGCUGUCGUCGUCACAACUAUUAAGGACGCUAUCAUGACUUUCGUAUGUACCAUUGUGAGUAUCAUGUCAUCGGAUCACGGUCCUCGAUUUUGCAUGCGUUAAGGCGGGCUGUGAGACCUGCGUGAAGUUGCCCCCCCAACGCAAAACGGACACAGCGGAUCACAGGAUGUGUGAAAUGUAACACGAACCCCAAGGAACGGAGUGUUUCCUGGGGGGAGUUCUUUGCUGCACCUUUAGACUUUACUUAAUUAAGGGUCGUCAUGAUUGCUGUUCAUUUGCAGUGAACUUUGUGGGUAUGAUUCUGAUUAGUGGGGUGCUUUUCCCUUUUUGUAUAGCUGGUGCUGUCAUACUAGCCUGCCCUUCAUACAGGAAGCCUCAGUCCUCUUAUGACUAGUGUUAACUUUCUCUUGUGACUGUUUUAUUUGACCAAUGCCUGACUGUGUUGGCUGCUUCUUUUAAAAUAGUUCUUGGCCAGUCUUUUUAACUUCAAAAUAAAAUGUAUUUUUUAUAUGGAAA